CGGCGGACGGGUGAGUAACGCGUGGGCAACCUGCCCCAUACAGGGGGACAACGGCCGGAAACGGCUGCUAAUACCGCAUAACACAUGGGAUCCGCAUGUUUCCCAUGUCAAAGAUUUAUCGUCCGGAGAUGAGCUCGCGUCUGAUUAGCUGGUUGGCGGGGUAACGGCCCACCAAGGCGACGAUCAGUAGCCGGACUGAGAGGUUGAACGGCCACAUUGGGACUGAGACACGGCCCAGACUCCUACGGGAGGCAGCAG
rnacentral:rRNA from 1 species